UUAGAUCGAGUGAAGAAAUCAGGAUAUUGUAGUGUGUCAGUAUCAGUGUGUAGUGUGUCGCUAUCUGAGGUGAUGCUGUAUUAUAUUUAGUACUGCCUGAGGUGGUAAAGAUUCAGUGCCUAUAUGGACAGGUCAGCUUUGAAUGUAUCGGCGUCACAGGCGGUGCCGGUUUGCACCCCGAACUAUUGAUUGAUCCGACAUAUAGGAUCGUUCCACUUUUUGACCGAUCUGAAAGCAAAUAAUAAAUCCAGAUUUUGCUGCCAAGGACGAAUAAAGCCGUACUGGAUUUGACGGAAUCGUUUUGUGCAUCAGCGUGCUCCACCUUGGUCACUACCCAUUGGGAUUGUUUCGCGAAAAAUGCUAAAAGUCUACGUCGGAUAUGGACAAUUCGCGACUGUACGCUUCCAAAUGCAUGUAGUGCCAACAACGAUUGGUUCGAUUAAAAUAGUUACGUGUUACUAUCAUAAGCCAGCCCUCGUAUACAUGUUGUUACCAUUAGUUUUGAUCAGCAAAGCUAUGGAAAGAUUGUUCGUGAGACAAAUUUGCGAUUCAACUGCAAAUGCAGUAUAAAUCUAUGUGUUUUCACUGUGUUCACCGUAUAAGCCAUGUGUUUUUCACUGUCGUCUAUAGACCCUUGCUUCCUCGUCCGCGAUCCAUAAAGUUUCCUGACUCACAUGCCAAAUCAGAAAACCGCUAAAGCAUCGCAUCUGGAUUAUGCAAGGAGCUUUUACUGAUUUGUUUCAUAUAGAAUUGGAUUGAAUAUCUAGGAAAAAAUAGAAAAUACAUGAGAGAUAAUAUAUCAGAAUUACCUCCAAGA